rnacentral:pre_miRNA from 1 species
AUUUCCUGGGCACCUUGUUAAAAUGCAGAUUCUAAUUCAGUGGGUCUGAGGUGAGGCCUGAUAUUCUGCAUUUCUAACAAGUUCCCAGGUGAUGCUGA